GACGAACGCUGGCGGCGUGCUUAACACAUGCAAGUCGAGCGGUAAGGCCCUUUCGGGGGUACACGAGCGGCGAACGGGUGAGUAACACGUGGGUGACCUGCCUCAGCUCUGGGAUAAGCCUGGGAAACCGGGUCUAAUACCGGAUAUGACUCCAUGACGCAUGUUAGUGGGGUGGAAAGCCUUGUGUGGCUGAGGAUGGGCCCGCGGCCUAUCAGCUUGUUGGUGGGGUGAUGGCCUACCAAGGCGACGACGGUAGCCGGCCUGAGGGGCGACCGGCCACA
rnacentral:rRNA from 1 species